UGGCAUGGGGGUCCUAGUACCGAACCCACUGGCUGUCGAUGAACUGCAUGAGCUGAUCCCGCGGAAAUAGUGGGUCGCCGUGUGCCGGCCGGGGGACGGACUGGGAACGGUUCCUUCGGGGGCCUUCCCCGGGAGUCAAACAGCUAACUCAGAACUGGUAUAGACAAGGGGAAUUCGACUAUUUAAUUUUAACAAAGCAUUGCGAUGGUCCCAACGAAUGUUUACCCAAAGUCAUUUUUAUCCAGUGCUCUAAAUGUCAAAGUGAAGAAAUUCAACCAUGCGGGGGUAAACGACCGGAGUAACUAUGACUCUCUUAAGGUAGCCAAAUGCCUCGUCAUCUUAUUAGUGAUGCGCAUGAAUGUAUUAACAAGAUUCCCACUGUCCCUGUCUAAUAUACAGCGAAACAACAGCCAAGCGAACAGGCUUGGCAGAAUCAGUGGGGAAAGAAGACCCUAUUGAGCUUGAGUCUAGUCCGACUUUAUGAAAUGACUUCAGAGGUGUAGUAUAAGUAGGAGUCGUAAGGCGAAAAUGAAAUACCACCACUUUUAACGUUAUUUUACUUAUUCCGUGAAUCGGAAGCGGGGAACUACAACUAUUUUGGACCCAAGGCUUGCUUCGCGGGUCGAUCCGGGGAAUGCAACCCAAAUCGGGCGGUGAAUUUCGUCCUAGGCUAAAUACAGGUGAGAGACUAAUAACGAACAAGUACCACGAGGGAAAUAUUAAAAGGAAUUUGAAAAGAGAGUCAAAGAGUGCUUGAAAUUGUCGGGAGGGAAGUCGAUGGAGGCUGACAAUGCACCCCGGUCGGAUGUGGAACGGUGACGAGCUGGUCCACCGAUCGACUCGGGGGGAACUAUGCCUGAGCGGGGGGAAGCCAAGGUCAUGGAUAGGAUAAUUCUUCAUAUGAAUCUUAAGUUGCCUUGAGGCAUAGGCAACAACUUUCCCAUUUUGCAUAAGCACACAGCCUAACCCAAUUCUUGAGUCAUCACAAUAAACCACAAAACCAUCAGGCCCUUCCAAUAAAUUCAACACCGGAGCAGAAGUAAGUCUAUCCUUCAACUCUUGAAAACUCUUCUCACACUUUUCAGACCAUAUUAACUUGGCCUUCUUUGGUGUCAAAGGAGAGGCAAUUGAAGAGAAUCCCUCAAAAAAUCUUCUAUAGUAUCCAGCUAAACCCAUGAAACUUCUAAUUUCCGAAGGAGUUAGAAGUCUAUGCCAACUCUUGACCACAUCUAUCUUCUUAGGAUCUACCUUAAUACCCUUAGUUGAAAUAAUAUGACCAAUAAAAGCUAAGAAUCUUAGAUAAAACUUACAUUUCCUAAAAUUCGCAAAGAGUUGUUGGUCGAUUAAGACAGCAGGAAGGUGGUCAUGGAAGUCGAAAUCCGCUAAGGAGUGUGUACCAAUUCAGCAGCCGAGUAAACUAACCCCGAAUAUUGAUGGCGCUUAAGCGCGCGACCUACACCCAGCCGUCAGGGCAAGAGAGGAACCGUUGAUUCACAUAAUUAGUCAUCGCGCUUGGUUGAAAAGCCAGUGGCGCGAAGAUACCAUUUGUUGGAUUAUGAAUGAACGCCUCAAAGUCAGAAUCCAGGCAAGAAACAAUGCAUGCGCCCGCCAUCCGAUUGCCGACCCGCAGUAGGGGCCUUUAUCCCCCAAGGGAGCGUUUUGUUGGCUAAGUCACCGCGACGGAAGCGGCGCGAUGACUGCCUUGAAGUACAAUUUCCAUUGAGCGGUGGGUAGAAUCCUUUGCAGAAGACAUAAUUACGUGACGGGGUAUUGUAAGUGGAAGAGUGGCCUUGCUGCCACAAUCCACUGAGAUACAACCCUUUGUCACUCCGAUUCCA
rfam:Solanum tuberosum cultivar DM 1-3 516 R44 scf00427_48, whole genome shotgun sequence.